rnacentral:lncRNA from 1 species
GGGUCAGCCUGCCCAUAGUGUCAAUGACUAUGCCACUAGCAGAGAAAUGAAGCAGUUCGAUCAGGAGCUGCUAGAGCAGAACUCUAACAGCAACAAUACUUCUCUGGAUGGACAAGAAAAAUGAGUUAGCAUGGAGGCAGUGGAAUCAAUACUUCUCUGGAUGGACAAGAAAAAGGAGUUAGUAUGGAGGCAGUGGAAUCAUCUCCAACAGCUAACCAAAAUAUUAUAUCCAGUAAGUCGAGGGAGAAGUUGACAGUAACAAAAACAUCACUCUUGCUGAAGCUCAACAAAACAGAUGUUGCUGUUAAAGACAACACAGAAAACAUCAGUCAAUCAUCAGGUCCCAAAGAGAAUAAGGAAGCUCAUAAUUCAGAUUCUGAACAGUUCUCUCCUCAACAAGAAAAUUUUCAACAAGGCAGCAUGGUCGCUGCUCCAGCAGCUGCAGCUUCAAAUGAAAACUUUAUUCAAAGUGUUUUACAUUUACAGCCUCAGGAUGUAUCUCAACAAACAUUGGAAGCUGCUCAACUUAAAGACAACAUAAAAACAACAGUCAAUCAUCAGGUCCCAAAGAGAAUGAGGAAGCUCAGAAAAUUCAGAUUCUCAACAGUUCUCUCCUCAACCAGAAAAGUUUCAACAAGGCAGCAUGGUCGCUGCUCCAGCAGCUGCAGCUUCAAAUGAAAACUUUAUUCAAAGUGUUUUACAUUUACAGCCUCAGGAUGUAUCUCAACAAACAUUGGAAGCUGCUCAACAUACCAUUAAUACAUGCCCAUCGAUAUCAAAUGAAAAUUUGACUACUUAGAAAGAAACAAGGAGAGGAGAGUAGCAGACACCUAACAAAUAUGCAUACCAUCAAUACAUGCCCAUCGAUAUCAAAUGAAAUUUUGACUACUCAGAAAGAAACAAGGAGAGGAGAGCAACAUACACCUAACAAAUAUCAUGGAGAGUCUUCAUCAUCCUCUGCUGCUAACAAACUGGUUCCUAUGAGGGACAUGGCCAUUAGAUCAAAACUGUGGAAAGACCUACGUGAAUAUGACGACGAUGAGGGCUGGGGAGAAGGAUUUGCUGCUUUUUCGUCUUCAGAGGACGAACAAGAAUUUGAUGAUGACACAUCUGCUAAGGACAGUGAGGAUCAAUUUGAAAGUCGAAGGAAGUUAGCGACAGUAAAGACAAAUGCUAAUCUGCAAUUAGUAGCAAAAAGACACACCAUUUAGAACCAUAAUGCUCCAGUGUUUCUCCCAAAAGAUAUCACAAAACAAGGUGAAACAUCAGCUGCUAAUCGGAUAGCAUCACCACUCCUUGUACCUGCCCAGAAACAGGUUAUACCAACAAAGGCAAUCACGCUAAAGGGAAAGGGACAACAACAAAUUGUCUUAAAUGCUUCUGAAUUCAACACCCAGAAUGGACAAUUUUUAAAGGAGGAGGUAGGCAGACAUAAAUUUGAAGAAGGGGAGGAAGAAGAUAUCCCAUCGCAUUGUCGAGCAGAAGCGUCAAGAAAUGGAGAUUUAUCACCUAUGCAUAGUAAAACAAGUAAGAAAUCUCGUGAAAGAGAUAGAAGUUGUGAAGGCAGAGUAUGUGUAGACAAUAACAUACGGAGACCCCCGAUGAGAAUUGCAAAGCAAAAGCAAGUCAUGCAACCAAUUGCUACCAAGCCUAAUCGUGCGGGAUGCUCCUAUUGGUGGAAGUGCAACUAGUAUAAAGGUUUCAAAUGAUCGAAAUGCUGCUGGGGUGGCUAAUACUAAUACUGAUCGAGAAACCAAGGCCAAAAAUAAUGCAACAGAUGUAGUAGUAGGACAUGAUGUUGAUGUAUGUUCCAACUUGGAGUUUACUAUUGCAUUGACUACAUCUGGUAAUCAACAUAUGGGUGUAGCUCCGAUAACUACUGAUGCAUUUGUGAAUUUGUUUGAAAACCCAAUUUAUAGGGCUGGCCAACAGGGAAACACUGGAACUGCUCAAAUGCAGGAGGAGGUGUUGAAUCAAGGAAACAUUAGUCAUAACCAUUUAAAAGUAGCAGGGACAGGACAUAUUGAUGCAGGUACAAAGUUGGAGAAAACAGGUGUUGAACGUGUUGCUGUACUAUUUGAUCAAGUGGAAAAAUCAGCAGGAGCAGCUGGACAAAGUACAAAGGAAGUUGGUGAACAUAUUGAUGCGGGUACAAAGCUGGAGAAAACAGGUGUUGAACGUGUUGCUGCACUAUUUGAUCUAGUGGAAAAAUCAGCAUGAGCAGCUGGACAAAUUACAAAGGAAGUUGAGAAAAAACAAAAUGUGGCUAAGGUUUGGUCAGUUGUAUCACCUAGUAAAAGGGCUGCUAAUGAUUCCAAAAAACAGGAAUUUACAUAAGAAAGUAUUAGGUGUACAAAUGCUUUUGAAGCCUUGACCAUUGAACAUGAAGAUGGAGAGAAUGAUGCUGCUAAAAAAUGCGAACAAGUAUUUGGAGAUUCAGAUUCAAAAUCUGGAAAAUAUAGUUAUCCAACAAAUGUAAAACAAAAGCAAAAUUCUUCAAAAACUACAGCUCCAGUAAGGGAACAUGUUAAUGGCCAACCUCAAGCUUCAGGCAGUAGCAAUCAACAGCAACAUUCCAAGAACACAGACGGUCGACAAAUUGUUUCGCAGGCCAUUAUUCCUAUUGUUGCCCAAACGACUGAGGCGAUCAGAUCCAAUACACCUUAAAUGUAUAUUUCUAAUCCUCACAUCCAACAAAUCAUCGACACACAAAAGGCAAGGAUGAUGAAUUCUUCUGUGGUAAAACAACCUUUGGUCACUUUGAACACUUCGGUGUUUGAAAUCCCUUCACAAUCAAUUGAAUCCUAUGGCGAGUUUGAAGGUGCAGCUGGGCAGCUUACUCUCUCAACUGGAAACAAUGAUGAACUUAUUCAACAAAAGGUGAUCAAAUCCAAAUUUUGGUAGCAGCAACGUGAAGGGGAUGACGAAGAAGAUAAUGAUAUUAUCAAAGAAAAUGUGAGGGAGCCAGCAAUAAAUUCCAAGAUAUGGAUUCAACAACGUGAAUACGAUGAUGAAGAAGAUUUUGGAAUUGAUUUUUGGGAUGACUCCUCAGACGAUGGUGAGAAAUGUAGUGGUGAUGAAGAGAUAACAUUAGUAGUGUCUCCAAUUCCAAAAGGAGGUAGCUAUGCUAAGAUAGGAUCUGGAAGCAGGCUCAAUGCAACAGCUCCAGAUUUUAUCCCUAGCUCAAGGCAACAACAUGGAUAAAUAACCACAACUAAAAUGAGGAUGAUAGUAACUGCUCUAAUAAGUGUACCAACAACCUCUUUGGAUGACAUAAUGUUACUUGAUGCGUUGGUAAGUCCCACACCUUUCAAAAAUAUUAAGUGCACCUAAUGUUGCUAGAACUGGAAGAAUGACCAACACCAAUAACAAAAAUCAAAGAAACGGAGUCUUGGUCACUAAAGAGGAUAACACUUUGGUAUCACAAGAUUUUCCUCAAGAAAUUCUAAAACCUAUAAAUUUAGGCGGAGAUGUUUAUGAAGAAGGUGAGGAAGAUAUUACUCUAAAUCAACUCCGGGAAGCGGCAUCGAGUAAAGCCGAUUUAUCGCCAUUGCAUAGCGGAAAAAAUAGGAAAUCUAGAACAAGGGAUAGAAGCUGGGAUGGCAUGCAACACAGUUACGAUGGAAAAGCAACACAAGAUGUUGCCCUUAGGAAACCACCAAUGAGAAAUGCAAAGCAAAAGGCGAGUGUACCUACCACUUCCGCAAGGUCAAAUAAAUCCAAAAAGAAAUGAUAACGUUUGAAGAUUAUUUGAAGAAAGCGAAAGAAGAAACAAAAGAGCUACAAAUUGUAGAAUGCACAAGUUCAAAAAGAAGACAAAGACUCAAUUUGUUACAUUGUAUUAUUUUAUCAUUUUUUAAGUAUUAUCAUUUGUAAUAUCAUCACAUAGUAUGCUAUAAACUUUGUGAUAAUCACUGAACAUUUAGUCUUAGCAAGUUCUUUCUUUUUACAUGCUUGCUAGUGAGGUUAAUUUAUGCCUCGAUAGGAUUAGUACAAUAAGGGUAGCCCGGUUGCGUUAUAUGGGUAACAAUAUCGGUGCUAUUGUACCCCUUAUUUGUACUUUUUCUAUUUAUUGUAUUUUCUUUUCUUUUCUAUUAUUAAUAUAAAAACCAACCCUAGGCACUUGCCUAGUAGAUUCAAAAAAAAAAAACACUGUUAUAUGAAAGGAAGAGGGGUGAUAUUGAUUUCAUGGUCCUUCACUUGCUCUUCUUUCUUCAUAGAUUACACAAGGGAGCUCUGAUGAAAGUUUUUCCAUGGACAUUGAAGAACAACUGGUGGUGAUAAGAAUAUUGAUACAAAUUUAAAUGAAAUAAGCUUAUGUUGAAGAACAACUUGGUAGACAAACAAAGAGUUAGAAGUUUGGUUGGCAAUUGCAUUCUAUGUUUACUAGAUGAAAAAGAGGGUGGUGGUGAACAACGAGAACUUUGAAUAUAUAUAAAAUCAACAUAUAUCCGUAAAUAUGUAUUUUAUCAUGUCGAAGAUGAUGAAAACUUACUGAAGAAAUCCAUUGACUUGUCAGACAAGGAGAAGAGGAAA